rnacentral:tRNA from 1 species
GGGAACGGUAUUUUAUAUAAAAUAUAGCCAUGUGGGGGCUAAGAAUGCUUGAUUGUUUCGUUCUAAU